GUUUUUGAAACCAGAGUUUGCAUGCUCUUCCCGAGGUGACAUGGGCUUCCUCCAGGUGCUCUGGUUACCUCCCACAAUCCAAAGACGUGUUUCAGGUAAAUUGGUGACUCUAAAUUGCCUUUAAUGUGCGUACUGGCAGUUUCGUCAGGGAGAUGGGGAAGGGUUGCAUUCCAGCUGGACUAUUUGCAUCACAGAUGUUCCAGUAGGAGGAGUGACGGAGAGACACUCUCUAAUGUUACCGCAUAUUCCAAAACAAGCGCAGGAGAGUAUGCUUUGAGCACGAUUGAGCAGCGAUAUGAAUUCAGCUGCUUCCUCGCAUAAUGCUGAUAGAAUAUGUGCUUUUACAGUACACACACACCUUUUCACUGGUGACACUAGAGCCCUGUUUAAAAGCUGAAUAACCAAAUAAUGCUCAGAUAGGAACUGUACCUGAUGUUUGUAACAUGCAAGGAAGGCAAGCUAUUUUUCCACACAGAGCAAGUGUAUUGCUUUGCCUUGCUCAAACCACAGCAGAAAAAAGACUGUUCUUUUCACCCUGUUGUAAUAAAUGGAACCCCUAACCUUGGGAUAGAAAUGUACGGGUCUCAGCUGACUGCCUUCUUUCUUGUUUCAGGGGUGAGUCGACAGGCGGGAAUAGAGAGACCGGGACUGGGGAGUAUUAGUGCCCUUGAUGAUCCACAAAGGGAGUCGUUAUCACUUUUCGGCAGACCGGCCAUGCGAGCUGAAGGGCACUCGUCCAUAUUCAUCAGCUUUUCAGCAGUACUUCAUGCUCAGUGUCAUGGAUGGUUCCGGAAGGAAGCGGCGGACCCAAGCGCAGAGCGGAAUACGGGCAUUAUUAUGGGAAAUCCAAGAGACUUCGUCACAGGACAGGCAAAAGGUCUUCGAGGCGCGAACGUCAUUACAGGGACAAUCCAAAAGGGAAGCCGUCUGGAGAGCUCUACGAGGAGAGGGACAAGGAGGGGCUCCCAGAUUUUCACCCACGCUUCCAGGUGUAAGGGUCAAAAGCAGCGGCGGAUAAAGAACAGCAGAAAAUGAGUCCCGUGCUGUGCAGAAAGGCUCAUAUUCUUUCGCGAUGAUGGUUCGGACAUCGCGACGUGUCCUCGUGGGUCUCUGAGCGCUAGAUGUAGGUGGUGUUUGUGACGCGCUCUGACGGACCAGUGAAGGGCGCACGAGACGAAAGUCUCAAAUGCUGCGGAAAACAGCCGCGCAGAAAGACGGACUUUGUGCGCCACUUUAUCUCCAUCUUUACGGACGCCGCAGCCCCGGCGCACGUUCCCCAGCUAUCGGGCGCAGCUGCUGUAUCGGGGCCCGCGUCUGCUUUCCGAUACAAUCGGGCAGACUGUAGUCAAAACACCUGCAGCGCUCCGGAGCGCAGCUCGGUCACGGGCCAAGUUCAGGAAGAUAAAGACGUCCAAAUACUUCAGCUUCCACUGAGUUUUCAGCUUGCACAAAAAAGGCAAAGAGUAUCUCACUCG
rnacentral:lncRNA from 1 species